ACGCACGCUGGCGGCGUGCUUAACACAUGCAAGUCGAACGGAAAGGCCUGCUUUCCCUUGUGGAUUGCGGGUACUCGAGUGGCGAACGGGUGAGUAACACGUGAGUGAUCUGCCCCCAACUUGGGUAUAAGCCUGGGAAACUGGGUCUAAUUCCCGAUAGGACUGCAGGGUGGUGCCUGUGGUGGAAAACGAUUUUCUAGUGGUUGGGGAUGAGCUCGCGGCCUAUCAGCUUGUUGGUGGGGUAAUGGCCUACCAAGGCGGCGACGGGUAGCCGGCCUGAGAGGGUGGACAGCCACAUUGGGACUGAGAUACGGCCCAGACUCCUACGGGAGGCAGCAGUGGGGAAUAUUGCACAAUGGGCGGAAGCCUGAUGCAGCGACGCCGCGUGGGGGAUGACGGCCUUCGGGUUGUAAACUCCUUUCGACCGCGAGGAAGCCACCUGGUUGGAAGGGUGGUGACGGUAGUGGUAGAAGAAGCACCGGCUAACUACGUG
rnacentral:rRNA from 1 species